CAAGGUGUCCCACCUCCUCUGCUUCGCCACCUGCUGGGGCGCUGCGCUCUGGGCUACCUUCAUCGGUGGAAUCAUCAUGUUCAAGUAAUCAACUGCUUCCCCCCAUGCUCAACUUCCCCCAAUUUUUUGAAAAACGAACGAAAUCUCUUGAGCUGAUCGAUUCGGUUUUACUGAAUCCUCCCAAGGAAUCUGCCGAGGCACCAGUUCGGGAACCUGCAGGGGAAGAUGUUCCCGGCCUACUUCACGCUCAUCUCCGCCUGCGCCGCCGUCUCCGUCGCUGCCUUCGCCUACCUCCACCCGUGGAAGGCCGCCUCCGCCGUCGAGCGCUACCAGCUUGGCUUCCUCAUCUCCGCGCUCGGCUUCAACCUCUCCAACCUGCUGGUCUUCACCCCCAUGACCAUUGAGGUAAACGCCCUUCCUCCCCCUAGGAGAUCUCUUGCUAAAUUCCCUGCAAGAUAAAAACAAAUAUGAGAUCCACCCUCUGUAAACUGGACUAGAUGACUGACGUUAUUUAUUGUCGUCAUUGCUCCAAAUAAGCAAUGGAUCGUGGGAUUUGUACCAGGUACUGCUUAGCAGCAACCAGCAAUUUGUCUGUUGAACGUAUAAUGGUCUGUUCGCAUGUUAUACAUACUCAUCAUCUAAUUUGCAGUUGCAUGCCAUAUAUACUUAGCAGCACAGUAGCCCC
rnacentral:lncRNA from 1 species